UUUUAAAAGAUAUCGAAUAUGAAAUAACACAAUCCUAUUAGUUGGUGAACCUUGAGGUUCACACUAGGGGGUGAACCCAAGAAUAAGUUUAAGAGUUAGAUCUUUGUAUUAAUGUAUGAAGCUUGUUACACAUAAUUUUUUUUUUUGAUAACUGAAAGAAAUACACCUUUUUAAUACAUUUUCAGGAUGAGUUUAUUCAAUCUUUUUUUUUUGUUAAGAGGAAAACCAGGUUUCAGUAUUUUUAGAUGCUUUUAUCUAAAAAUAAUAACAAAGUAGUUUCAAAUAAAAAAUAUGAUAGAGAAGAUAUAUAAAACAUCAUGGUUCAUGAUAUGGGUUGAUAAAGUCUCAUGAUAACAUUGAUCAGGGAACAUAAGUCCAUAUACGGACCCAUAUUGGAGAUUUUUGAGUGCAAUUGCCAUUAAUGUUGAAAAACGACGUAACGUCGUUGUUAAAGUAUCUAUCAUAUCCAAUAUAUUUUCGGAACUAUCAAAGAUAAAGCUUUCUGCAUUUACCAUUUUUUUUUCUAGGCCAAGUUACUUGUAUAUUUCUUCGGACAGGAGAUGAAAGCAUGCAAGUCAGCAAGUUAGUUUUACUUUUUACUCUAAAGCCUAACUAUCCAGGUUGAACACUUGAACUCAUGAAAUAUCAACUAUCGUCCCCGAAUCUAUUAUUGUCCUUGACCUAAAGUAUAUUGGUCUUAUUUUUUCUUAUUUUGAAAAUAUUAUAUAGACGAUUCAAAUACUAUCUAUCUUAUUAUGGUCUGUGUUUUAGCUGUAUUACCAGAACCGUCCUAUGAAAAUCCACGCCUGAUCAUUUUUGCUUGCAUCAUGUUAAAAAUCUACGGUUGAUCGGGUUUACUUGCACCAUGUUGAAGAUUUUUUGUAAACAUUUUCAGUGUAAACUGCAUAAUUAUUUAAUAAAUCAUUUUUUUUGAGAAUUAAAACCGUAGAAGCAUUAAUGAACUUAGUCAAAACCACUAGACUAAUGGAGAUUUCACUAUUGAUCCGAAAUUAUGGUGAUACUAGUGGUUUGUCCGCGCUUCGCGCGUAUUGUUAUUGAUUAUAAUGUGUGUUGGAUUUAAGUUGUCGAUGACUUCAACAUGACUUUGAACUUGUUUGGGUGGUUGCCACUUGAGUUCACGUAGCUGUUGUUUAACCAUGGCCAUCUAACGUCCCCACCUUAGUUGUUCAUG
rnacentral:lncRNA from 1 species